rnacentral:rRNA from 1 species
CAGUCGCCGCGGGAAUACGAAGGGUGCAAGCGUUAAUCGGAAUUACUGGGCGUAAAGCGUGCGUAGGCGGUGAGUUAAGUCUGCUGUGAAAUCCCCGGGCUCAACCUGGGAAUGGCAGUGGAUACUGGCUCGCUAGAGUGUGUCAGAGGAUGGUGGAAUUCCCGGUGUAGCGGUGAAAUGCGUAGAGAUCGGGAGGAACAUCAGUGGCGAAGGCGGCCAUCUGGGGCAACACUGACACUGAGGCACGAAAGCGUGGGGAGCAAACAGGAUUAGAUACCCGGGUAGUCCCUGUCUCUUAUAC